GGGCCCUAAGGGCCCCAGCCCGUGCCUUUCAUCCUGGCAAAGGAGACCAGGCACAGCGCCCUGAGUUUCUGGGGGAUUUCACCAACCUGAACUUUUUUUUUUUUUUUUUAACUAUUUAUUUGGCAGAAGGUGGAGGGGGCAGGAGCAGGGCAGAGAGAGAAGCGGGCUCCCUGCUGAGGAGAAAGCCUGAUGCGGGGCUCCAUCUCAGGACUUUGCCUUCCUGACCUGAGCCAAAGGCAGAUGCUUAACCGACAGCCACCCCGCCAACCCAAACCCCUAUCACAUCUCUGCUGUCCACUUGCCUGUGUUCUAAGCAGAGUUUUGCCAACUUGCUGCCCUUGCUCUAAGGAUCUUCAGCAAGCACCUUGUUUAUAUGCAGACGUUUCCAGGUAAACGAGGAGGAGGUACCCACCACGGAGACAACUGUGCCUCUGGCCUGCUCUACCAGGAGAGUGUCUACUGGCCCUGGGACCAAGGCCCUCUGCAAGAACACAUGUAGCAACUUGUGAUGGUGGCACUUCAAUAUUAUUUUUCCUGCUGAGAAUCCUUUUGUUCUCUGUAAAUAAGAAUAUGGAGCCCUGCCUUCUUUGGGACUCUGAGGUCUCCACAUGACAACCUCUAAGACCACUGUCUGUACCCACUGACCUUUGUCCCAGGGGGUCUGAAUCUUGUCUUCUUCUGGAAAGGUGCACGUAUGGUGGCUGUUGAAUUUCCAUUUUGCCAAAGUGACAUUAGGCCAGUGUGUUAAGUUGCAGCCAUCCUCUGGUGUCUUACAAACUCUGUGUUCUGUGACUCUUAGCCUAACCUAUCAGGAUGAUAUACCAAGGAAAUCUCUUCACUGAGCAUUCUGAGAACCAAUGAUCUAUGAUAUCGUCUACCCAUUUCUGUGCGUUUUCUGCGUUGCCUCUAGGAAAACCUAAGGAAAUGUGUUUUGGGAGUCUCUUUAAUGGAAAUUCUGGGCAACUUCUGUUCUUUGAAGGGGUCUCUGAACCUACAUUCCCAGAAAGCCUUUAGAAAUUAGUUCCUUCUUUUGGAAACAGGACUUUUGUGGCAUUAAGGUGACCUUUGAGGUGUUGAGUCAGAGAGACAAGAUGAAACCCACCAUACUUUUAAGGGACCCCCUAGUAACCUGAUUCUGCCUCUUGUGGGAUGAAUGAAAAGGAGGUGGGAGGAAGGAAAGAAGCUUCUUCCUCAGCAGGUCAGAAAGCAGACAAUUACCUCACAGCCCCAAACACUGAACUUUUGGUAACCUAUGGCUUAGUCCUCACGCCAAAAUGAGACUUCCUACUCCCUCCCUGGGAAUUCAUAAUAGCCUGGGAUGAGCUUGAGUUUUCAUCAGUAGUAGAGGUGGGAAUCCACCUAAGCCUCACCUAAUCCACCUGGCCCCGUUAUCAAAGAACCCUUCAUUCUGGGCUGCCACUCCACGUAGAAAUGAGCUUAAGUUUUAGUAAGGGAGAUAUAGUGUCCAUAUAAGAUGCAUCAUUAUGCAGAAAAUGGUUACUACAGCACCCAGAGAACUCUUCUUGGGACUGGGGAUGGAAUAAAGUCAUGGAUAGUUAAAAUAUAUAUAUAUAGCUUUAGUCUAAGUGUAAAGCAAGAGAAAACAUGAAUUAGACUUCUAAGACUAAAUGUUUCCAUCUUAACAUUCAUGGUGUUGCUACCUCUUCUUUUAAAAAAAAGAUUUUAUUUAUUCAUGAGACACAGAGAGAGAUACACACAGACAUAAGCGGAGGGAGAGGCAGGCUCUCUGCGGGGAUUCUGAUGUGGGACUCGAUCCCAGGAUCCCGGGAUCACGACCUGAGCCAAUUGAAGGCAGACGUUCAAUCGCUGAGCCAUCCAAGUGCCCCAUGUUGCUACCUCUUGAAAGAAAAAGCAAUUUGUGACCCAAAAGUUGGUCAGGACCAAUAUGUAUGGAUCAUGCUAAAAAUAGAAAUAAACCUAACUUUCCGAGAGCUAACUACAUGAUAGUUAGAUCAUAUGGGGAAAUCAGCAUGUCUAUUAUUAAAAUAGAAAGCUGAGUGUUAGAACACAAAUUUGGCACAGGUAGAUCAUGCAAGAAAAAUUCUGAACAUGAGAACAAUAAUUCUCCAUUGAAUAGGAAAAUGAUUUAAUAGAAUUUAAUGUAUUAACAAACCUGUAGUAGAUUGUGAAAAAGGAAAAUCCAGGCGGUGAUAAUAUGAGAGACCCAAUGGGAAUAUUCAUAUUUGAGCUAUAAAUCAUUUAGAUAUAAAUGAUCCAUAAUACUUAUUACAGAGCUUGGAGCAGCAACAGAAGUCACUGAAAGAAAAAGAGCAGGAAAAAUUUCAAAGAGAUUACUUUUGCCACAAAGUAGGUGUGUGUGUGUGUGUGUGUGUGUGUCUGUCUGUCUGUCUGCUUUAAUCUAAAUCAAAUUAAAACUGUAGGAAUGCUGGAGGUUUCUCAAGAUGUUGUACUAUUACCCCUCCAAAGAAGGCAUUGCAAAAUUUGAAGCUCCACAUCCCUCAUACAGAAACAUUCUUGAUAAGUCUCAUUUUGGAAAGAGGAGUUCAAGAAGGAAUGUAGAACAUUAAUUAAACGUUUGACUAAAUAUUCAAAAUAAUUCAAAAUUAUUCAAAACAAUGGAAACCAUUGUUAGAAGUCUAUGGGCUUUCAAAGGCUAUGGCGCUUCAGGAAAUGAGGCCGGACACUGUAUAACCAAGCUGAUAAGUAAUAAGGCCAUAUACAAAGUAGAACCUAAAAGCUAUCAAGAGUAUGGAGCUGAUUAUGUCUGGCUUUGCACAAUGGUUGUCUCAGUUUGGGUUUAGGGUUUGAUUACAUGUGGUUUACUAGAGAAUUGAUCAUGUGAGGUACAGUAAGCAGGUGAAGAAGCGAGAUAAGGAAGGGAGGAAAGUCAGUAGUUUGUUGACUAAAAAAUUGGUCACCACUAUGGCCAAAUGGGCACUAUCCUAUCGAAACCCCUCUGAGAGACUGUAUAGAAUGUUCUCAGAAUUGUCCCUCCGUGGGGCAGUACAUAUCUACCAACUGCCAUCCUUCACUGACAGUUCCCCGGGCCCACUAUGCAAGCACCGGGAUGGGAUGGCUGAGGUCAGAGAACGGCCAAGUCAUCCCAUCCCGGCCACCUGGUGAUUCAAUGCUUCCCUUGUGAGCAGGCCGAGGCAUUUACACUUUACUCAGAGACCCGACCCGGUCAUCGAGAGACUGGAGCAAGUGAGACGCCUACCCACAGCCGUGCUUUCUCCCGGGCAUCUCUAAACUAAUGGCCAGGCACCACAUGUCGCGUGAGGUGGCUCCAGUUUGCUCUGCCACCAUUCAGGUGUCGGGAGCUCCUCUUCCCGGAACUGAGACCUCAGGAACACGGCGCCCCUUCUGCGUCUUAUCAGUAGUCACACGCACGGAGGUUAGACAUGGUCUGGAUGACAAAUCUACUUUCUUCUAGAUACCCAGACACAGGGAGCAAUCUAUAUAGAGAGGACCAACAGAUGAAGACAUCCUUCUUGUUUUCUCAGCGGAAAUGAACUCAACACACAGCUCGGUUUAAAUCAGUAGACAUUUGUGGAGAAUCUACUAUGUACCAGAUACUCUUUUUAGAGUUCGUGGAUAAUGUACGUGGAAGAAUGUGUUCAGCUAUCUUAAAAGACCCUGCCAGGGAGUAAAGGAGAUUGAUAGCAUGAUGUCUGGCAGCAAGGGAAGGGACUGAUAAUUCACAACCCUGCAGUCACAGAAGUUCCAAAGAGGACAUUAUUUGGACAUAGCAAAUACUCCUCCAAAUACUGCACCUCCCUCAGGGCAUAUGAGAUUGAAUUAAACUUAAUUCACUAUUUCUUGAAUAUAUUUUGCAGUCAGUAAUUAUUAUUAAUCAUAAUAAUGAUUAUUGACAUUAAGGCUUUAAACUCUAAACAAAAUGUAAUCAAUCUAGUUAGGAGUUAGAUUUGGUACUGCAAUGACAUGAAUUUCAAGCCCUUCUGUAAAAUAUGAAGAAAUGUGCUCUUAGCAUUCUGUGUAAAAUAAUUUUGUUAAAUAUAUGGUACAAUAAUAAAAAAAAGACUGAUCCCUAAAUAAAAUCAAGGUUCUUU